UUGGAUCCCAUUCCAAGCAUUCUGAUGACCCGAUGCCCAGUUAUCUGAAGUCUUCCAGAAGUGAGCUUGAUGAAACCCUGUAUCCCUCUGAGCCCCAGCUUCCUCAUCUGUAAAGUGGCAGGGGACCCACCUAACACAUGUCUCUGUGAGGCCUGGCAUGAUUGCUACAUGGCUGCCUUCACCAUAGUCUGCUUAGAAAGUGAAUCUUGGGUGGGAUGUUCUACAAGCCAAAUUUGUAACCGUCUUCCUAUGUUCAACUGGGAUUGCAAAGAUCUUCUCAACUGAGCUUGUUCACUGUUGACCUUCCCUUCUAAGAGGGGAUGGGGACAGUCCUGGACCUACCUGUGCAUCCAGCUGCCCUCCCAACCAGCUGUAUGCAGUUCUGCCUUAACUGCAUGUGGCUUCAGGGUUUUGGGAAGGGGGCUGGCAGAUAUAGGCUGGGGAAGGAUGGGGAAGGGGCACCAUCUCUGUAGCCAUCAAAUCUUCAGUGACACUGCUUUGGGCUUCCCCAGGCUCCUGUUUGUAAGCCUUCACUCAGUCUCUGAGCCCAAUAAACUCAUUGGUUCUCCAGGGGAACCUUUGGUGAAAUCAAACUUUGGUUUGUCUUUAGGACCUUAGGAAAGCGGGUAGAUAUUAGUCUGCCCCCAACACACUCAGACCCCAAGCAAAAAAUUUGGGGACCUUGAGUUGAUACAUUCCUUCAUGCAGUGAAAGUGUCAUUUUCUGUUACUGUGACAAGAGACCUGAGGCUGGAUAAUGUAUACAGAGGUUUAGUUAGUUGACUUAAAAAAAAAAAAAGUUGUGCCUAUAUACUGCAUGUAGUUCCCAUGGAUGCCAGAAGAGGGAGGGAGUACAUCCUUGGAUCUGGAGUUCGGGAAGUUGUGACUCAUCCUGUGGCCAUCAAAUUCUAGUCCUCUGAAGCUCUCUUAACUGCUGAGCCAUCUCUCCAGCACUAAUUAGGAUUUUUGUUUUUUUACCAAGACAGGGGUUCUCUGGAUGUCUUAUAACUCGGCUUGUACACCAGGCUGGUAUCAAAUCCACCUGCCUCUGCCUCUCGAGUGCUGGGACUAAAGGUGUGCAUAACCACUGCCAGGAGAUUUUUGAUGUGUUUUGUGGUGCUGGGAUAAGGCCUGAGACUUCACACAUGUUGAGACUGACACACUCAGCCAAGCUCCAGCACAUGAAUGCCCAGGGACAAGCCAUAUCCAAAGCUCAGCAGGGGAGCAUUUAGUGAGCCCCACUGCUCUGGGAAUCUGCUUUCUCUGGACCAACCUCAGAGCAGGUCAACGGAACACCACCAGCUUCUAAGCUGGGGGAAAGUCUACAUGCUCAGGAUGAGACAGGGCACUGCAGUACCUGCGGCAGAGGCGUUCUAGAAGGUUGAAAAGAAGCUCCGCGUGUCAAGGCAGGUCCUUAUUUAUUUUUAUUUAUUCAUUCAUUUGAGACAGUGUCUCACUAUGUUGCCUUGGAACUAAUUAUGUAGACCUGACUGGCUGAACUCAAAAGAGAGCCCCCUGCCUCUGCCUCCCAAGUACUGGGACUAAAGGUGGAUGCCCACUGAGGCAGCAUCUUUUUGCUGCCUGAGGCUAGAGCCAAGCUUUGUCCCCAGACGAAGGAUGGGUACAGAUGCAGUGCAAGCCACAAUCCCCUGGAUCCAGAAGACUCUAAGCAGCAGCUGUGGGGUGGCUGGGCUCCUCUAUAGUCCCCAAAGUAAAACCAGCUCUGCAGUGGGCCCAGGCACCAUGAGUGAGAGCUGACGUCUUUAUUAGACUCAAAUGCUGCAGUACAGGACGGUACAGAGCGGUACACGGUUGUGCUUCCACACUUUAAACACUGAGAUUCAAGAGUUUCAAGUUAACAAGUUUCAAGACAGACUAGCCUUUUUUUAAAUAUCCAUUUGAGAAAUUAUUUAUAUAAAUAACAUAAAGGAAACCCCACAUGUUCGACAAACAAGGUCCUGAAGCAUGAGCAUUGCUUGACCAGAGGGAAGGGACGGAAGAAGCGGCUACAGAAGAAAUCAAUCAGUGCUACUACGGUUCAGUCCUAAGGGAAAAGGCUCACUGGAGAGGGGGCAGGAGAGAGGCCUGAGAACUAAGGAGAGGAGAGAGAUUCUAGAGCCAGGGAGGGAGGAGGGCACAGGACACCUGCGGCAGGCGUACACCACGUUUGCGAAGACAGCACGAGACACAGUAAUACAUACAAGUCUGCGGGAGGGAGAGGUGGGAGCUGGGCUGGGGACAUUUUUGUGACUUCCACUGUCUUUGUUUCACAACUACAGCAGCAGGGUGAGCGGCAUGCUCAGGGAGCUGCUGCCUCCUGAAGGUGGAGACCAUCCUUCCAGCAUUGGCUUCUGGAACUUCUGCUUUAUAGCUAGCUAUGUUUUAUACAGUGAUGACUAAUACAAAGAAUAAAAUGAUCCUUUUCAUACAAC